GAUGAACGCUAGCGGCAGGCCUAAUACAUGCAAGCUGAACGGUAAAUGUUGUAGCAAUACAAUAUGAGAGUAGCGUAAGGGUGCGUAACACGUAUGCAAUCUACCCGCAACAGGAGGAUAGCUCCCCGAAAGGGGAAUUAUACUCCAUAAGAUCACGAGAAGGCAUCUGAUUGUGAUUAGACUCCAAGGGGUUGCGGAUGAGCAUGCGCAUGAUUAGUUAGUUGGCGGGGUAACGGCCCACCAAGACGAUGAUCAUUAGGGGAACUGAGAGGUUAAUCCCCCACACUGGCACUGAGAUACGGGCCAGACUCCUACGGGAGGCAGCAGUAGGGAAUAUUGGUCAAUGGGUGAAAGCCUGAACCAGCCAUGCCGCGUGCAGGAAGAAAGCCUUCUGGGUUGUAAACUGCUUUUAUCUGGGGAUAAAAUACCCGUGCGCGGGGAAUUGAAGGUACCAGAUGAAUAAGCCACGGCUAACUACGUGCCAGCCGCCGCAGUAAUAC
rnacentral:rRNA from 1 species